rnacentral:rRNA from 1 species
CUACCAGGGUUUCUAAUCCUGUUUGCUCCCCACGCUUUCGCGCCUCAGCGUCAGAACCGGACCAGACAGCCGCCUUCGCCACUGGUGUUCUUGCGAAUAUCUACGAAUUUCACCUCUACACUCGCAGUUCCGCUGUCCUCUUCCGGUCUCAAGCUUUCCAGUAUCGAAGGCAAUUCUGUGGUUGAGCCACAGGCUUUCACCCCCGACUUAAAAAGCCGCCUGCGCGCCCUUUACGCCCAGUGAUUCCGAGCAACGCUAGCCCCCUUCGUAUUACCGCGGCUGCUGGCAC